UGGCGAACGGGUGAGUAACGCGUGAGGAACCCGCCUCAAAGAGGGGGACAACAGUUGGAAACGACUGCUAAUACCGCAUAAGCCCACGGCUCGGCAUCGAGCAGAGGGAAAAGGAGCAAUCCGCUUUGAGAUGGCCUCGCGUCCGAUUAGCUAGUUGGUGAGGUAACGGCCCACCAAGGCGACGAUCGGUAGCCGGACUGGGAGGUUGAACGGCCACAUUGGGACUGAGACACGGCCCAG
rnacentral:rRNA from 1 species